ACUCCUACGGGAGGCAGCAGUGGGGAAUAUUGGACAAUGGGCGCAAGCCUGAUCCAGCCAUGCCGCGUGAGUGAUGAAGGCCUUAGGGUUGUAAAGCUCUUUUAUCCGGGACGAUAAUGACGGUACCGGAGGAAUAAGCCCCGGCUAACUUCGUGCCAGCAGCCGCGGUAAUACGAAGGGGGCYAGCGUUGCUYGGAAUCACUGGGCGUAAAGGGCGCGUAGGCGGCGUUUUAAGUCGGGGGUGAAAGCCUGUGGCUCAACCACAGAAUGGCCUUCGAUACUGGGACGCUUGAGUAUGGUAGAGGUUGGUGGAACYGCGAGUGUAGAGGUGAAAUUSGUAGAUAUUCGCAAGAACACCGGUGGCGAAGGCGGCCAACUGGACCAUUACUGACGCUGAGGCGCGAAASCGUGGGGAGCAAACAGGAUUAGAYACCCUGGUAGUCCACGCCGUAAACGAUGAAUSCCAGCUGUUGGGGUGCUUGCACMGCAGUAGCSCAGCUAACGCUUUGAGCAUUCCGCCUGGGGAGUACGGUYGCAAGAUUAAAACUCAAAGGAAUUGACGG
rnacentral:rRNA from 1 species